rnacentral:rRNA from 1 species
GACGAACGCUGGCGGCGUGCCUAAUACAUGCAAGUUGAGCGCUGAAGGUUGGUACUUGUACCAACUGGAUGAGCAGCGAACGGGUGAGUAACGCGUGGGGAAUCUGCCUUUGAGCGGGGGACAACAUUUGGAAACGAAUGCUAAUACCGCAUAAAAACUUUAAACACAAGUUUUAAGUUUGAAAGAUGCAAUUGCAUCACUCAAAGAUGAUCCCGCGUUGUAUUAGCUAGUUGGUGAGGUAAAGGCUCGCCAAGGCGAUGAUACAUAGCCGACCUGAGAGGGUGAUCGGCCACACUGGAACGGAGACACGGCCCAAACUCCUACGGGGGGCAGCAGUAGGGAAUCUUGCGCAAUGGGCGAAAGCCUGACGGAGCAACGCCGCGGGAGUGAAGAAGGUGUUCGGAUCGUAAAACUCUGUUGUUAGGGAAGAACGUGGGUGGAAGGGAAAAGCCACUCAAGGACGGUAACUAACCAAAAAGGGACGGCGAACCACGUG